CCAAACUUGGUCAUUUAGAGGAAGUAAAAGUCGUAACAAGGUUUCCGUAGGUGAGUGAACCGAAGACGACCCCAAACUCUCGGAAGACAUUUGGAUGCUAACUGCCCAUCACAGGUGAACCUGCGGAAGGAUCAUUACCGAGUUACAGGUGCUCCGGCACCGAACUCCCACCCGUGUUUACAUGACUUGUUGCUUUGGCGAGCCGGUGGUCACGCCACCGCCGGCCAUCAGGCUGGAUAGCGCUCGCCGGAGAAUCAAAUCUCAAACUCUUGAAGAAACUGAAAUCUGAAAACUUUGGAAAACGAAUGAAAACUUUCAACAACGGAUCUCUUGGUUCCGGCAUCGAUGAAGAACGCAGC
rnacentral:misc_RNA from 1 species